rnacentral:lncRNA from 1 species
GCUAAAUAUUAUAGCAUAUAGAGACAAAAUAGCAAGAGAUGAUAUUAGGACCAUCUAAAAUUAACUAACAAAGUAUAUAUAAUAAACAAAAUUAAUUAAAUUACUAAAUAUCCAUAUUUAAGGGUGGAUGAGGUCAAAGUAAUACACAAAAAAAUAUGCAAAAAAUAAAUAAGAGACAAGUUUUUUUUCGAUUUCACUAUAACAAGAUAUCAAUUACACUAAUCUUUUCUAUUACAAAAACUCUUUAAGAUAAAAUCCAAUCCUAAGUUAAAACUCAUCCUAGAGCAUAGACCUUGAUUUAUUAGGAUCACUUAACCAUAAGCUAAAUUUCAAUCUUUUAACAUGUAGUUCAACAACUACGUCAGCAGUAACACCAAAGGCUUGAUCAUACAAGUACAAACAAAAAAUAUUUUGAAUUUUCUUUUUUACGUCUUCCUUGACAAAGAUGUCAGUUAGGGUCAAAACCCAGAGCUCAAAAGCAAAUUAACUUUCUUUUUUCUUAAGGAAUAAUUCUCUUUUUUCAAA